CUGCACACUCACUCCACCGUCCCCGCUAGGCAUAUCUCCCCGCCGUUCCCCAUUCUCGUGGUCGCUAGCUACCCAUGUCCACCUCGUCAAGCCGGCCCGCGCCACGCCAAGCUGCUUCUACCGCCGGCGCCGCGCCCAGCUGCAGCCGCCGCCGCCAAAUCUCCGCGAGCGGGAUGCGGAGGCGUGGGAUUCGCCCCUCCCUCCUCCUGGAGACGACGGAGCGCUCGAGCUCGGCAUGCUCGCCGGCGACGCCGGGGCCCUCCCUCGUCCUGAUGCACUCUUCGUCGCCGCCAUGAGGCUAUUCACCUCCCCCCUGCUCGGGACGCCAUGAAGGUCAAAGGAAGAUGUUGAACCUAAAGAAGUGCAGGGAAGAAUUACAGCUGCGUGUAUCCGGCUGGCUCAAGGUGUAUCUGGCUGGUUCAAGGGACGUGCAGGGCUCCUGGCACUGGGGAUCUCGCGGACGGAUGCCACACUGCGAGGGCAGGGUCCUGGGUGUUCCGUCGCCUGGCCUCCCUGCUCUGGCGACCUCGCGUAUGGAUGCCACGCUGCUCGCGGCAACAAUCCGCGAUGGCGAUGGCGAUGGUGCGACGUGCUGGUGCAGUGCCGCGAGGUCGGCGUGCAGGAUACAGUGUUGGUGGGCGGCAUCGAGGAUAAGGGCGAUGGGAUCUGAUUUCGUUAGUUUCCUUAGUUUCCGAUGACAACGGCGUGAAUGUAGGGGACGAACGCGGGAUUGCUAUUUUUGUGCUGGUGGAUGGAUGCGUGAUUGUAGGGGACGGACGCGGGACUGGUAUUUCUGUGCUGGUGGAUGGAUGGUGGAGGUGGAGCACGGUCAGUCUAGGAAAAUUGCUACGUGCACACGUUAGAGGUAUUAGAUGAAAGAUGGCUGUUAGAUUAGAUUCGUGGGACUAAUUGUGUGGUGCUGAUUGGCUAGUGCGUUUUGUGGGACUAAUUGUUGAGUGCACGUAAGGAAAUUCUUGUUUGA